rnacentral:rRNA from 1 species
UACGUAGGGUGCAAGCGUUGUCCGGAAUUAUUGGGCGUAAAGAGCUCGGUAGGCGGUUUGUCACGUCGGCCGUGAAAACUCGGGGCUCAACCCCGAGCCUGCGGUCGAUACGGGCAGACUAGAGUGCUGUAGGGGAGACUGGAAUUCCUGGUGUAGCGGUGAAAUGCGCAGAUAUCAGGAGGAACACCGGUGGCGAAGGCGGGUCUCUGGGCAGUAACUGACGCUGAGGAGCGAAAGCGUGGGGAGCGAACAGG